rnacentral:SRP_RNA from 1 species
GCCGGGCGCGGUGGCGCACGCCUGUAAUCCCAGCACUUUGGGAGGCCGAGGCGGGCGGAUCACCUGAGGUCGGGAGUUCCAGACCAGCUUGACCAACAUGGAGAAACCCCGUCUCUA